CUUCCCGCCAUGUCAGGUACCGAGGCGGAAGUGCCUCUGCCGCCCGCCGGAGGGGAUCCGCCAUGACAGUUACCGAGGAAACAGCUGGUUUUAUGCCUGGAUCUAUUUCUGUAUGGUAGCAGAGAAGUGCUACAUUGCUAAUGACUUUCAGCAACGCAGCUGGAUUUAGUUAGUGAGUUUCAGCAUCGUGACUCUGCUUGGGCAUCUGGAUGUGAGUGUUUGUUCUCACUCCUGCCAGGGGACCGACUCCGGCAUGCCAUUCCUUCCUUCCCCCCCACCCACUUCCUUUCCACCUCCCUCCCAGAAGUCACUUUUCUUGAGACAUGGGAAAGCCAUCAGCACGUCCUGCUGCUCUGAGGGCUGUUUGCUGGCUGCCUUUGCUCUUGGAGGUCCUGGUAGAAGGGUUACAAAAUGGCUCGUACCAACGACAGUCUGGCCUGCAGUGUUUAUCCAGUACCUGUUUAAGAGGCGGUGGUUACUAUCGACUGCCAAACUCACCCAGAUUCGAAGUGGCAACUGGAAGGAGAAAGACCCUCUAUCGUACUGCCAAACUGAGGAUGCCAGUCUAUGCCAGGGGAAGAUGUUUGGGAGACAACCAGACCCAACACCUUGGAAGAUGAGCUUCCUCUUGUGCCUAGUCCCGCUUUACCUGCAGAAAGGCUUCCAAUGAAACAGCUACAAAGAGUACGGGAAUGUCCUUGCAUAGUAUGACAGAGACAUAAAAAACAGAUUUUCUUUUUGUUUUAAUUAAAUAAACAUUGUUGUUGGAUUUCUAUCGGAACUUCUAAACCUGCUUAGAAUUUCAAAACCAGUUUUAGACUGAAGAAAAUA